rnacentral:rRNA from 1 species
CUAGAGAGCACGGAUGGAGCCGACGUGACCUUUCAUGCCGGUGGUCAGAAGUUCAUGGCUCAUAGUCCUGUGCUCGCUGCUAGGUCAUCCGUGUUCAAGACGGAGCUCCUCGGCGCCAUGAAGGAGAAACUCGGCAGUCCGAUUGAAAUCCAUGAGAUGGAAGCUGUUGUGUUCAAGUCCUUGCUCUAUUUCAUAUACACCGACUCGCUGCCUCCUCUUGAGAUCGAUAGCAACCCAAUUAAAGCACGUUUAGAUGUGACAACGGCUAGCCAUCUCCUCGUGGCAGCGGAUAGGUACAACGUCGAGAGGCUAAAACUGAUAUGUGAGCACAAGUUAUGCAACCACAUUGAUAGGAAUAUGGUGGCAACCAGUUUGGCAUUAGCUGAGCAGCAUAGUUGUACUGGACUCAAGGAAGCUUGUCUACAGUUCCUCGCUUCUCCCACCAAUUUGGAGGCGAUGAUUGCAAGUGAUGGCUACGAGCAUCUGAAAACCAGUUGUCCAUCUGUCCUCAAAGAGCUGGUUGCUAGGCUACUGCCGGAUAUAAUGAAAGCGGCCAAGGAUAUUAUCAUGACCAUUUAG